AGUGAACGCUGGCGGUAGGCCUAACACAUGCAAGUCGAACGGCAGCACAGGAGAGCUUGCUCUCUAGGUGGCGAGUGGCGGACGGGUGAGGAAUACAUCGGAAUCUGCCCAGUCGUGGGGGAUAACGUAGGGAAACUUACGCUAAUACCGCAUACGACCUUCGGGUGAAAGAGGGGGAUCGCAAGACCUCUCGCGAUUGGAUGAGCCGAUGUCGGAUUAGCUAGUUAGCGGGGUAAUGGCCCACCAAGGCGACGAUCCGUAGCUGGUCUGAGAGGAUGAUCAGCCACACUGGAACUGAGACACGGUCCAGACUCCUACGGGAGGCAGCAGUGGGGAAUAUUGGACAAUGGGCGCAAGCCUGAUCCAGCCAUACCGCGUGGGUGAAGGAGGCCUUCGGGUUGUAAAGCCCUUUCGUUGGGAAAGAAAUCUUUCAGGCUAAUACCCUGGGAGGAUGACGGUACCCAAAGAAUAAGCACCGGCUAACUUCGUG
rnacentral:rRNA from 1 species